rnacentral:rRNA from 1 species
UACGAAGGGGACUAGCGUUGUUCGGAAUCACUGGGCGUAAAGCGCACGUAGGCGGAUGUGUCAGUCAGGGGUGAAAUCCCGGGGCUCAACCUCGGAACUGCCUUUGAUACAGCACGUCUCGAGUCCGGAAGAGGUGGGUGGAAUUCCUAGUGUAGAGGUGAAAUUCGUAGAUAUUAGGAAGAACACCGGUGGCGAAGGCGGCCCACUGGUCCGGUACUGACACUGAGGUGCGAAAGCGUGGGGAGCAAACAGG